GACCACUCUGGUGGCAUAGGGGUUAGAGCAUCCGCCUCAUAUGCGGGACGUGGCGGGUUCGAACCCCGACUAAGUCA